rnacentral:rRNA from 1 species
UGGCACUGCCCGGUAGCUAAAUGCGGAAGAGAUAAGUGCUGAAAGCAUCUAAGCACGAAACUUGCCCCGAGAUGAGUUCUCCCUGAGACUUAAAGUCUCCUGAAGGAACGUUGAAGACGACGACGUUGAUAGGCCGGGUGUGUAAGCGCAGCGAUGCGUUGAGCUAACCGGUACUAAUGAACCGUGAGGCUUAACCUUACAACGCCGAAG